AGCAGCCGCGGUAAUUCCAGCUCCAAUAGCGUAUAUUAAAGUUGUUGCAGUUAAAAAGCUCGUAGUUGAAUUUCGGGGUUAGUAGGCUGGUCGUGCCACAGGUAUGCACUGGUCUUACUGAUUCCUCCUUCCUGAUGAACCGUAAUGCCAUUAAUUUGGUGUUGCGGGGAGUCUGGACUGUUACUUUGAAAAAUUAGAGUGUUUAAAGCAGGCUAACGCUUGAAUACAUUAGCAUGGAAUAACGAAAUAGGACGUUCGAUCCUAUUUUGUUGGUUUCUAGGAUUGACGUAAUGAUUAAUAGGGAUAGUUGGGGGCAUUAGUAUUCAAUUGUCAGAGGUGAAAUUCUUGGAUUUAUUGAAGACUAACUACUGCGAAAGCAUUUGCCAAGGAUGUUUUCAUUAAUCAAGAACGAAAGUUAGGGGAUCGAAGACGAUCAGAUACCGUCGUAGUCUUAACCAUAAACUAUGCCGACUAGGGAUCGGAUGAUGUUAAUUUUUAAUGUACUCAUUCGGCGCC
rnacentral:rRNA from 1 species